rnacentral:lncRNA from 1 species
AGUUUUAGAAUUUCAGCUCUUACUUAAGGUCUUUGCUCUAUUUUGAAUUUAUUUCUAUACACUGUGAGAGAUAUGGAUUUAAUUUUAUCCUUCAAUAUGUGAGUGUCUCGUUUGCCCACACCAUUUAUUGAAGAAGCUGUGUUUUUCCCAGUGCCAGCUCUUUGCUGGCAGGUCCAGGAGAGAUGAGAGAGAGGGCCCGACCGACCCAGUCUCUCUGAGGCUGAGCAGGAUGGUGAGUGUCAACGGCCCAAAAGAAACACACCGAGCCAGGAGUUUUGUCGAAGCAGGAACUCGACUUUAUGGCAUCAGUCUCUUGAUUAUGAGAGGGAUUUUUGGUGAGGUUAACUAAAGGGCACUGAACAAGUAAAGCUGUGCUGAAAAGAACAGUGGCCAAGGCAGGGAUAUUCUUAUACCACAAACAGUCAUGCAGAUGGAAGUCUGGCCAACAAAACCAUAAAGCAUCAUGUCUCACUGUGACUCAAUCUGUCAGCUCAAGUACAAGCCUUGAGUACACAAGUUCUUCUGCAUUCCCAAAUGCUUCCUUCUUUUGUCUCCAGUUAAAGACAUUUACCACUUUCUGGGAAGGAUUUCAACUUCAACUUUUCAUGAAAUACGAUGAGAGAUCGACUCAUGAUGGACUCAUCAGAAAUAAUUGGAGGUGGGAGGGAACAAUGUCAUCACUGACAGACUGUGCAACAACAAUUACUUGGAGCAACAGAGAGCAACGGGACAGCAGAGACCAUAUCUCCAACCAUUGAUUGUCCUUCAGGUAAACCAGGAAGUAAGAGUAACUGGACCACUGCCCCUACCUCAUAGUAGUUGGAAAGGGAAAAAUUGUACUUACCAUAUAGAGAAAAAUUUGAAAUCUUGGUAGCUUAAGUGAUCAUUUCACUCAGUAAUUCGAGUGCCUGUUGAGAUGUGUGUACAAGCUCAGACAGUCUUCCUGGGCUGCGCCAGACUACUAAAAAGCCGAUGAAGCACAUUCUUUAUUCUGCUACAAAACAAAUGUGAAAAUGUCUUGAUGAAAGCUCAGCUGCUUUGCAAAUGUACAAUGAAGGCAAAUUUAACUGUCUGGGAUUGAACGAAGCCACAGUGAAAUGAUGAGAGUGGUUGCAGGAUUUUAGGAAUUUUUGUAUUUGGAUAAAUGAGAAGAUCAACCUGUCCUGUGUUCCCCGCGUGGCUACUGUGGGCUUUGAAGAAGUUAAUGUAGAGAAAGCCUGCUCUUAUGGUGUCUCGUUUUGUUAUCAAUGAAGACUGCAUCUGGACUAGGGAUGGAGGCAGGUGUCCACUUACCUUUUCAGCUCUAGGACCCUUUCUGGUACAGAAACAAAACAUAUUGCCUCAAGUUUCCAGGAGUUCACAUAUGUAUUAAUUCUGAUGAAUUAAAGAACAUAAUUUUUGGGGUGUCCUCCAGCCCUUCUGAACUUUAUGAUUGGAAAAAUGAUUUAUAGUAGCUCAAAACUUGAACGGAAACAAAAGAUUGCUCUGCUGUGUUAUAAACAAGAUUGUGUAAGCAGUCUAAUAAAAUGGGAAAUAAAUUGGGUAGGUUUGACUUAGUGUUGUACAUAUUCAGAAGUUGAAGCUGUUGUUUAAAAUGUAAACCUUCACUGUAGUAUAUACUCACACUUAGAUAACUUUGAUAAAGCAUUAGAACUGUGAAACAUUUAGACUUUGCUUUUACUGUUAAUGAGAUUUAAGCUGUUUGCCCUAUAUUCUUUUCCUUAUUUCAGAAGCUGUUUUGGUUUCUUGUGCGCAUAUUUAAAUCCUUUUUUUUCCUGUGAUUAAACCACUAGGUUGAUUGAUGUGUUUUAUUUGCUUUACUAGAUAUUCUCAAUGUGCUACCGAUUUGGCUACACACACACACACACACACACACACGUCACUCAAUCACGCACACACUCAUUCACUCACUCACUCACUCACUCACUCACUCACUCACUCACUCACUCAUUCACUUCACUGAAUUUAGUACCCUCAACCCCUAUCCCCUGCAAUUCACAUCUUGGAUUCAUAAUAAGAUCAGUGCCUUCAUAAAAAAAGGCAGAGACAUCAGAAUUCUCUUUCUGUCCCAGGUAAGGAUAUAAUGACAAGUGACCUCCUAGUAAGCCAGGACAAGUCCUUUACUAAGAAACAAAGUGACUGGCAACUUUAUGCCGGACUUUCUGCCCUCCAGAAGUAAGUCAGAGCAACAAAUGGCAGUUUUCCAAGCAUUUUGAUGUAUUUUGUUUGAAGUAUUUUGUCACGGUAUCUGAAGGUAACCAUUAUAGAAUAAUGCCACUUUCUGUGUUCUCUUAUUGUUUUAUGUACUUAUCGUCACUUUGUGUUACAAAACAUUUAAAAUGCUAUAUAAAUGCUAUAUAGUAGCACCUGAAAUACCAUUUUAGCUUUUUUUCCCCCCUUUUUUCUUUUUAAUCCUUUGGGCACAUCGUCUGUGGAAACAGGAUCAGCUAUUCCUCUGUAUCAGAUGGUGACUUCGUGUAGGAAUACUCUGCUGACCCUGGAGAAUGUUAUGUACACAGAGAUGGAUCAGUUCCCAAGGGAACCCAGGCCAGCAAUGAGAGUGGUGGCCUCAAAACCAUGGUACUCCUGCACAUGUUUGGCUGAGCUUCAGAUUGUUUUGUGAGUGUGCUGGCAGUGCAAGGGAGGAUGAUGGAGUUAUGAAAUGUAGAAUAUAUGGCCCAGGCCCAAUGGGGCAGCUGGGGUUAACUUUGGCUCAGCAGCUUGGCUCUGCCUUUAAUAUAUUGUCUUUCCUUAACUGCCUGGACUCAGCAUGUUGGGGGGAUGAUGCAAGGCAUUGUCCCAUUGCAUUGCAAAACUAUGGUGUAGACUCAAAAGAGCUCCUCUGACUAAACCUAGAACCUGUAACUCAUGUGAAGCUUCCUUGUCACCAGGCAUAUCAGCAUUUUCAGAAGAAAGAUUUCCAUUUUAGAGAAUCAAAGUGGCCAUUCACCACUGCUGAUUACUUUUAUCUUGUCUGUCAUACUUUCCUAGACUCCUGUCACACCAUUGCUAGGUUCUAGUGUCAACCACCUCAAAAUGGCACCUAUUAAUUUUUCCUGGUUAUAUAUACUGAGUGCCAGUACAAGUAUGAAGUGCUCUUAUAUCCUACCAUAUUGCCAUAAAAAAGUGUUGGUUUUAUGUUUCCAUUUGUAUUUUCCUGAUGACAAAGGUUGUUAGGUAUCCAUUAAAUAGUUAUUGAUUAUUUUGGAUUCUCCUUUGAAUUUUUCCAUGUAUCAUUUAACCUGUUUUGAAUGAGUUGAUAUUUUCAUACUUGUAUCCACUUCUCUAUUGAGUCAAACCAUUUUGGCCUAUAAAUCAAAAUUUAAUAUUUGAGGUGACUUUUCAAUUUACUACUAUAUUUGUUUUAACUAGAGGCAAAGCUGUAUAUAAAUUCUUUCAUA